ACGGAAGGCAGCAGUGGGGAAUAUUGGGCAAUGGGCGAAAGCCUGACCCAGCAACGCCGCGUGAAGGAAGAAGGUCUUCGGAUUGUAAACUUCUUUUAUGAGGGACGAAGGACGUGACGGUACCUCGAAAACAAGCCACGGCUAACUACGUGCCAGCAGCCGCGGUAAUACGUAGGUGGCGAGCGUUGUCCGGAUUUACUGGGUGUAAAGGGCGUGUAGGCGGGAUUGUAAGUCAGAUGUGAAAUGCAGAGGCUUAACCUCUGAGCUGCAUUUGAAACUGCAAUUCUUGAGUGAUGGAGAGGUAAGCGGAAUUCCCAGUGUAGCGGUAAAAUGCGUAGAUAUUGGGAGGAACACCAGUGGCGAAGGCGGCUUACUGGACAUUAACUGACGCUGAGGCGCGAAAGUGUGGGGAGCAAACAGGAUUAGAUACCCUGGUA
rnacentral:rRNA from 1 species